UCGUCACACUAUCAUUAACUGAAUCCAUAGGUUAAUGAGGCGAACCGGGGGAACUGAAACAUCUAAGUACCCCGAGGAAAAGAAAUCAACCGAGAUUCCCCCAGUAGCGGCGAGCGAACGGGGAGGAGCCCAGAGCCUGAAUCAGCAUGUGUGUUAGUGGAAGCGUCUGGAAAGGCGCGCGAUACAGGGUGACAGCCCCGUACACAAAAGCGCAUGUGCUGUGAGCUCGAUGAGUAGGGCGGGACACGUGGUAUCCUGUCUGAAUAUGGGGGGACCAUCCUCCAAGGCUAAAUACUCCUGACUGACCGAUAGUGAACCAGUACCGUGAGGGAAAGGCGAAAAGAACCCCGGCGAGGGGAGUGAAAAAGAACCUGAAACCGUGUACGUACAAGCAGUGGGAGCACCCUUUGGGUGUGACUGCGUACCUUUUGUAUAAUGGGUCAGCGACUUAUAUUCUGUAGCAAGGUUAACCGAAUAGGGGAGCCGGAGGGAAACCGAGUCUUAACCGGGCGUUAAGUUGCAGGGUAUAGACCCGAAACCCGGUGAUCUAGCCAUGGGCAGGUUGAAGGUUGGGUAACACUAACUGGAGGACCGAACCGACUAAUGUUGAAAAAUUAGCGGAUGACCUGUGGCUGGGGGUGAAAGGCCAAUCAAACCGGGAG
rnacentral:rRNA from 1 species